CAGGUCACUCCUACGGGAGGCAGCAGUGGGGAAUUUUGCGCAAUGGGGGAAACCCUGACGCAGCAACGCCGCGUGGAGGAUGAAGUCCCUUGGGAUGUAAACUCCUUUCGACCGGGACGAUAAUGACGGUACCGGAAGAAGAAGCACCGGCUAACUCUGUGCCAGCAGCCGCGGUAAUACAGAGGGUGCAAGCGUUAAUCGGAAUUACUGGGCGUAAAGCGUGCGCAGGCGGUUCGCUAAGACCGAUGUGAAAUCCCCGGGCUUAACCUGGGAACUGCAUUGGUGACUGGCGGGCUAGAGUAUGGCAGAGGGGGGUAGAAUUCCACGUGUAGCAGUGAAAUGCGUAGAGAUGUGGAGGAAUACCGAUGGCGAAGGCAGCCCCCUGGGCCAAUACUGACGCUCAUGCACGAAAGCGUGGGGAGCAAACAGGAUUAGAUACCCUGGUAGUCCUAGCCCUAAACGAUGAUUGCUUGGUGUAGCAGGUACCCAAUCCUGCUGUGCCGCAGCUAACGCGUUAAGCAAUCCGCCUGGGGAGUACGGUCGCAAGGCUGAAACUUAAAGGAAUUGACG
rnacentral:rRNA from 1 species